rnacentral:lncRNA from 1 species
UGACCAUUUUAGCAUCCAAUGGAACAAUCUAACGUCUAAAUGGAGAUUAGACGUCGGUGGCUCUCCACUCGGACGUCUAAGAAUAGUAAAAAAAUUAAUUUAUAUCCCAUUUUUUGCGUCCAUUUGGGGGAGCUGACGUAUAUGAGUAUUUAGACGUCAGGACUUCCCAUAGCGACGUCUAAAUACUUGUUUUAAUUAUGAAAAUC